AAACUCCCCUCCUGCACCGCAUAAGCACAAACUCUGCCCACAGAAAACAUCUCUGCAAGGAGAAAAAGAAGGCAUAAUCAUGAAUAAAAUACUGGCAUUGUGCAUCGGGUUACUGAUUAUAACCUUACCCUUUUCAUCUCAGGAGGGAAAUAUUUCAACCAAAGCAACUCCAUCUUCAGCCAAGCCUCCACCCAGUGCUGCAGGAUUGGGUCCGCUGCCCACCGUGAUGUGCCUUCUGAUCCCAGCAGUCACCGUGGGCUUCAUCCACAGUAGAUCCUAAACUGGCUGGAGAAUAUUCAGAUGACCAAGAGGAGCAAAGAUAGAUAGCCAGUCACAUGAAGACCACACUUCCCAAAAUUCUUGAAGAUAUAAGACACAAGAACAGCUCAAUAAGAAGAUGCCACAACGAAUCAACAUUUUUUAAAUAAUAAUAAUAAAAACUGGGAUUUAAAAGAAAAUAUCCACUGUAUACUGAACCAAGGAUCCUCCAAAGCCCAAAGAAACCACACCAUCAAACUCUGUUGCGUUUUAGUAUUUUACUUUAAAUUGGACUCAUCAGUUGCAACAUCUUGUGAAAGACUGUAUGUAUCUGAUCACUGUAAUCCACCUUCUCCAAAAUAUUUUUGCACUAACUGUGAUGAAAUAUUAAUUGUAAUGAAUACGAAUAUGUCUAAAUGCACAAUUAAAGUGGAUGACUGUUAA